rfam:Verrucomicrobia bacterium CG1_02_43_26 cg1_0.2_scaffold_1_c, whole genome shotgun sequence.
ACCAAAUCUAAUAAGAGCAAUAGGUGGAUGCCUUGGUGAUAUCAGGCGAUGAAGGACGUGGUUAACUGCGAUAAGCCUCGGUGAGUAGCAAACAUACUUUGACCCGGGGAUUUCCGAAUGGGGAAACCCGACUGGAUCAACUCCAGUCAGUUAUUACUGAAUACAUAGGUAAUAAUUGCGAACCUGCUGAAGUGAAACAUCUCAGUAAGCAGAGGAAAAGAAAGCGAAUGCGAUUCCCUCAGUAGUGGCGAGCGAAAGGGGAAUAGCCCAAACCGGUAGGAUUUAUCCUGCCGGGGUUGUAGGACUCCAAUGUGGGACUUUAAGUGAUAGGAUAAGCAAUUGGAAAAUUGCGCCAUAGGAGGUGAUAGCCCUGUUUCCGAAAUUACAAGAAGCCCUAGGAUGUUCCUGAGUAGCAUGGGACACGUGAAACCCUGUGUGAAUCUACGCGGACCACCGCGUAAGGCUAAAUACUCGAUAUCAACCGAUAGUGAACAAGUACCGUGAGGGAAAGGUGAAAAGAACCCCUGUUAGGGGAGUGAAAUAGUACCUGAAACCUAUUGCUUACAAGCGGUCGGAGCCCCUUCGUGGGGUGACGGCGUACCUUUUGUAUAAUGGGUCUGGGAGUUAUUGUCUAUAGCAAGCUUAAGGGCUUACAGCCUGGAGGCGUAGUGAAAGCGAGCCUGAAUAGGGCGAUUAGUUGUGGGCAAUAGACCCGAAGCGGAGGUGAUCUACCCAUGGCCAGGUUGAAACUCGAGUAAAAUCGAGGGGAGGACCGAACCGGUGAACCUUGAGACGUUCUCGGAUGAGCUGUGGGUAGGAGUGAAAGGCUAAUCAAACCCCGUAAUAGCUGGUUCUCUUCGAAAUAUAUUUAGGUAUAGCCUCGUGCGCUGACAAUCGGGGGUAGAGCACUGAAAAGGAUAGGGCCCAUACCAGGGUACCAAACCUUAUCAAACUCCGAAUACCGAUUGGUGUAGCACGGGAGUCAGUCUGUGGGGGAUAAGCUCCAUGGACGAGAGGGAAACAGCCCAGACCACCAAUUAAGGCCCCUAAAUCACUGCUAAGUGGAAUUAAGGAAGUGAAUCUACAUAAACAAUAGGGAUGUUGGCUUAGAAGCAGCCAUCAUUUAAACAGUGCGUAAUAGCUGACCUAUCGAGUGGAUUUGCGCCGAAAAUGAUCGGGACUCAAGCAGUGUGCCGAAAUUGUGGGUUCUAUGUUUUUUUACAUAGAGCAGUAGAAGAGCGUUCCAGUUGGGCUGAAGCCGAAGGGUAACCGAAGGUGGACUGACUGGAAGUGAGAAUCCAGACAUAAGUAACGAUAAUAAUGGUUAAAAUCCAUUUCGCCGUAAGGAUAAGGUUUCCUGUUUAAAGUUCGUCUGAGCAGGGUUAGUCAGGAGCUAAGGCGAGGCCGUAAGGAGUAGUCGAUGCACAACAGGUUAAUAUUCCUGUACUCCCUUGUAUGCGUUAUCACUUUCGGAGUGACGGAGAAAGUUAGUUCAGCAUGGUGUUGAAUGUCCAUGUCUAAGCGUUUAGGCUGUUCGGUCAGGUAAAUCCGCCGAACAUUAAAGCUGAGGCGUUAUGGGAUCCGGAGGCUACGGCCAAAGGCGAUUGAAUGAUACUAUGCUUCCAAGAAAAGCUUCGUUAGGAGUCUACAAGGGACCUGUACCGCAAACCGACACAGGUAUCCGGGAUGAGUAUUCUCAGGCGCGUGAGUGAAAUCUCCUCAAGGAACUCGGCAAAUUAGCCCCGUAUCUUCGGUAGAAGGGGCGCCUACUUCGGUAGGUCGCAGAAAAGAGAUCCAAUCGACUGUUUAGCAAAAACACAGCUCUCUGCUAAGUCGUAAGACAACGUAUAGAGAGUGACACGUGACCAAUGCGGAAAGGUGAAUGCUGGAGGUGCAAGCUUCUGGUUCAAGCCCCCGUGAAUGUCGGCCGUAACUAUAACGGUCCUAAGGUAGCGAAAUUCCUUGUCGGGUAAGUUCCGACCUGCACGAAUCGUGUAACGAAUUGGAUGCUGUCUCGAGGAGAUGCUCAGUGAAAUUGUAGUCGCGGUUAAGAUGCCGCGUUCCCGCAGCAGGACGGAAAGACCCUAUGGACCUUUACUGUAACCUGGUAUUGUUAUUUGAUUUUCAAUGCGUAGCAUAGGUGGGAGACUUUGAAGCCAUUCUCCAGGGAAUGGCAGAGUCAACGGUGAAAUACCACUCUUUGUUUGUUAAAUAUCUAACGUUGUGCCGUUAUCCGGCCAAUGGACAGUGCUAGGGGGUCAGUUUGACUGGGGCGGUCUCCUCCUAAAGAGUAACGGAGGAUUGCGAAGGUUUCCUCAAGUCGGUCGGCAAUCGACUGGAGAGCGUAUGAGUACAAGGAAGCUUUACUGUGAGACCUACAAGUCGAUCAGUUGCGAAAGCAGGCUCAAGUGGUCCGGUAGUAGGACGUGGAACCGCUAUCGCUUAAAGGAAAAAAGGUACCCUAGGGAUAACAGGCUGAUCGCGCCCAAGCGUUCACAGCGACGGCGCGGUUUGGCACCUCGAUGUCGGCUCAUCACAUCCUGGGGCUGAAGAAGGUCCCAAGGGUUCGGCUGUUCGCCGAUUAAAGUGGUACGCGAGCUGGGUUCAGAACGUCGUGAGACAGUUCGGUUCUCUAUCCGCUGCGGGCGUUGGAGAUUUGAGGGGUUCAUUUCCUAGUACGAGAGGACCGGAAAUGACGUGCCUCUGGUGUACCGGUUAUCACGUCAGUGGUAUCGCCGGGUAGCUAAGCACGGAAGAGAUAAGCGCUGAAAGCAUCUAAGCGCCAAGCUCCUCCCAAGAUGAGAUCUCCUUUGGAAUUUAUUCCAUAAAGGAUCCUGGUAGACCACCAGGUUGAUAGGCUAGAUGUGUAAGUAGGGUAACCUAUUGAGCUUACUAGUACUAAUGAUCCAAACGAUUUGACUC